rnacentral:rRNA from 1 species
UACGAAGGGGGGCUAGCGUUGCUCGGAAUCACUGGGCGUAAAGGGUGCGUAGGCGGGUCUUUAAGUCAGGGGUGAAAUCCUGGAGCUCAACUCCAGAACUGCCUUUGAUACUGAAGAUCUUGAGUUCGGGAGAGGUGAGUGGAACUGCGAGUGUAGAGGUGAAAUUCGUAGAUAUUCGGAAGAACACCAGUGGCGAAGGCGGCUCACUGGUCCGGUACUGACGCUGAGGUGCGAAAGCGUGGGGGAGCAAACAGG